rnacentral:rRNA from 1 species
UACGUAGGUGGCAAGCGUUGUCCGGAUUUACUGGGCGUAAAGAGCGCGCAGGCGGUCGUGCAAGUCGCGUGUGAAAGCCCCCGGCUCAACUGGGGAGGGUCACGCGAUACUGCUCGACUUGAAGGCAGGAGAGGGAAGUGGAAUUCCCGGUGUAGUGGUGAAAUGCGUAGAUAUCGGGAGGAACACCAGUGGCGAAGGCGACUACCUGGCCUGUUCUUGACGCUGAGGCGCGAAAAGCUAGGGGAGCAAACGGGG